rnacentral:rRNA from 1 species
GGAACCAGUGGAGCUUGCUCCACUUGGUUUAGCGGCGGACGGGUGAGUAACACGUGGGCAACCUGCCCUGCAGAUCGGGAUAACUCCGGGAAACCGGUGCUAAUACCGAAUAGUUUGCGGCCUCUCCUGAGGCUGCACGGAAAGACGGUUUCGGCUGUCACUGCAGGAUGGGCCCGCGGCGCAUUAGCUAGUUGGUGGGGUAAUGGCCCACCAAGGCGACGAUGCGUAGCCGACCUGAGAGGGUGAUCGGCCACACUGGGACUGAGACACGGCCCAGACUCCUACGGGAGGCAGCAGUAGGGAAUCUUCCGCAAUGGACGAAAGUCUGACGGAGCAACGCCGCGUGAGUGACGAAGGUUUUCGGAUCGUAAAACUCUGUUGUGAGGGAAGAACACGUGCCAAGUAACUACUGGCAUUUUGACGGUACCUCACCAGAAAGCCACGGCUAACUACGUGCCAGCAGCCGCGGUAAUACGUAGGUGGCAAGCGUUGUCCGGAAUUAUUGGGCGUAAAGCGCGCGCAGGCGGUCCUUUAAGUCUGAUGUGAAAGCCCACGGCUCACCGUGGAGGGUCAUUGGAAAACUGGAGGACUUGAGUGCAGAAGAGGAAAGUGGAAUUCCAUGUGUAGCGGUGAAAUGCGUAGAGAUGUGGAGGAACACCAGUGGCGAAGCGAC